rnacentral:rRNA from 1 species
CCUACGGGUGUCAGCAGUGAGGAAUAUUGGUCAAUGGCCGAGAGUCUGAACCAGCCAAGUAGCGUGAGGGAAGACGGCCCUACGGGUUGUAAACCUCUUUUGUCGGGGAGUAAAGCGAGUCACGUGUGACUCAUUGAGAGUACCCGAAGAAAAAGGAUCGGCUAACUCCGUGCCAGCAGCCGCGGUAAUACGGAGGAUGCGAGCGUUAUCCGGAGUUAUUGGGUGGAAAGGGUGCGCAGGCGGAGGUGCAAGUCAGCGGUCAAAUUGCGGGGCUCAACCCCGUACUGCCGUUGAAACUGCAUGCCUUGAGUGCGCGAGAAGCAGGCGGAAUGCGUGGUGUAGCGGUGAAAUGCAGAGAUAUCACGCAGAACUCCGAUUGCGAAGGCAGCAUACCGGCGCGCAACUGACGCUCAUGCACGAAAGCGGGGGUAUCGAACAGGAUUAGAUACCCCUGUAGUC